rnacentral:rRNA from 1 species
GCCGGCAGCUAGCUCUCUGCAACUCUCACAUGGUCGCCCACUGAAACUAAGCAGGGCUGCGCCUGGUCAGUACCUUGAUGGGAGACCACAUGGGAAAGCUAGGUUGCUGCUGGAA